UAUUCAGGCAGAAACUCCCAAGAGAUACUAAAAGGCAUAGUAGGGGUACACUACCAAGGAAUAUAAGUGAUAAUCUAGUGAAAUCUUAAAACAUAAAUCACUGGCAAGGACACAUGCAUUAUCAAAACAUAGGACUCCGACAUGUAAUUUCAAAUAAACAAUAAUGCUAUACAUACAUUAAAAUCGUUAGGCUUAACCCUGUGUCUUUUUGUGGGCCGCCCAAUUUUACGAAGCCCAUUGAUCAAGGUUCGACUUCCACAAGCAUCCAUCCUUAUGCGUGCUGUCAUCUUGUGAAGAAAAUAAAGUGCUUUCCUAGUCUCGUCUUUCGUCAAGAUCCAUUCCGAGUAUUCGUCAAGAUCGAUACUCAAAUCAAUGUAACUAUAAAGAAGGAAUGCAAAUUACAAGGGAAUUAAGAAAGAGAAGAACAUUGUUGGGUUCAGUUCAACAUCUGUGGUACGGUCCUACGUACGACAGGACAGCAAACUCACCUCCUCAGGACACCAAGCGUCUUUAGGCUCCACACUUAUUUGUCUUUUUAAUUAAAAGAGAAAGAAAAUAUAACU
rnacentral:lncRNA from 1 species